GUUGCAGCAAGCUCUCAAGUUCUUCUCCAUUUUGAUUGUGACAUUUGCUUGUGGUUGCAGUUCACCCUCUGUGACAUCACGUGUGAUCAUUUUACACUUCCUCUCAUUCAGGAAACUCGUCACAUGAAUUUGGUAUCGGGUUGGCUCCCUCCAUGGGUUAAAGCUCACAAGCAGAGUUAUAUCAUCUAGACUUCUGGCUUGGAUCUUGGGUUCCCACAGACUGCCUGUCUUUAUACACGGAGUGGUUCUUUUCAUCAGAGUGUCCGUGCAAUCAGGCAUUGUGAGAGACACGGACUUGCAAUUGUAGUCUCCAUUCACACUCAGUUUGGGUAGGUGGUAG
rnacentral:lncRNA from 1 species